AUCACCUCUCUUCGUGUCUUCUGGUGAGCUCAACCAAAGGCUGGCAGACUAAGUAUUGCAAUAAUAAAAGCAAGAAAUUUAAAGGCAGUGGAUAUCACAGGAGCAUCAGAUCCCUACAUGAAGGUUUCUCUAAUGUGUGAAGGAAGGCGACUAAAGAAAAGAAAAACUUCCACCAAGAAGAAUGCCCUUAAUCCUGUUUACAAUGAAGCCGCAGCCUUUGACGUCCCUCCAGAAAAUGCUGACCAAAUUAACUUGUUGAUAGCUGUGAUGGAUUAUGACCAGUGAGAUACCUGUAGCUGCAAAAUGACAUCAUCUCAAAAUCUAGUACAGUAGUUUGUAGUUUUGCAUCCAGGAAUGAAGUUAUCCUUUUUCUCGCAAUGUAAGGGAAAUCAAAUAUUUUCUCACAUUGAGUCCGGUGGAAGGCUAAAAUGUCUCAUUGUCAGGCAGAAUUUCCUUUCUAAAUUUUAAAAUGCAGAUUUGCAUCCAUAACAACCAUAACUAAGCUGCACGAGUUUACCAGAACAGAAAUAACUGAGCAUACAAUCAGCUCACACACCGAUUUUCUGCUUAUGAGCAGCUGCACUAACCCCUUGGACACAUGCCUCAGUUUAUAAAAUUAGGCUCAGUUUACUUGUAACUAGUUACAGAAAACAAAUAACAUUUUACAUUUCUCAUACAACAUUACAAUAAAUGCAUCUAGAAACACAGUGUUUGCUACCGCGGAUAAUAUACUAAAUUGUUUUGAUUUGUGGAAAAUUCAAAGAGCAAACCCUUGUAAUUUGUACUUUAUUAUAUUAUACUUUAUUAUAUAUAUCUAAAAAAUCAUGAUUAUUGCCUCUAUGAAAUAUGCAAAUGGUACAAUUUGAAAGCUAAUGCUUUAUGAAAAGCAUAUUAUGGAAUUUUCACAGUGUGGGUCACAACAAUGUCACUGCAGUACGUCAAGUAGGCAACGAUGCAGAAAGUCUGGGUUGUGACAACUGGAGUGAAAUGCUCUCACAUCCUCGGAAGCCCAUUGCCCACUGGCAUCCUCUUGCAGAGGGCCUAUUCAGCAGAAAUGUUAUGCAGGUCUUCUGUGCUUGGACGGCUGCCGAAGGGGCUUCCUCACCCUUCUAACCUAUUCAGCAGGAAUUUGGCAUUCCUCUGAACUCUUUCUCAGCCAUAUCCUCAGAGCUAUUCCACAGAGUCCAGCGGGGAAUCAAGUGGGAGAGGGCAUCCAGCGCCCCCAGGCUGUGCAGAGAAAUGCAUACACAGCAUAUCAGGUUGGUUCCUGAAUCAGGAUUAGGCUCAUCGAGAGCUCUGGAACCUCUGUGGCCACAACCAUAGGACCCUGAAUACUGCUGAAUAGAACCCUCAGUCUUCCACUGUGUGAGGAGCUAUUGGUUUCCAGUAGUGCAAUAUUAUCCACUUGUAGCAUUAGUUCUGCACCUGACACUAUUGCUGCUGAUAGUUUUUUGCAUGGUCAUAAGCAUUACCCAAAUUCAAGUCAAAUGUUUUGCUCAUUAGAAUAACCCAGGUUUUACAAGCAACAUGACAGCAGUGAAAACAACAGAUAUUGGAAUCAGCUUCACAUAUGAUUAUUGUAUUUGCAAAGGAAAAAAGAAGUGCAGUAUUGUAAAUGUAAAGCUAUGUAAAUAAUUUUUUCCCAAGAAUGAUUGUCAGCAGACUUUUUUGAUGGUGAGCUGUAUCUUUCAUCUCCAUGUCUCCUUUCAGCUUACAUGAAAACAAGACUAAUUCACUCCUUUGCAGAUAUGUUUCAAAUCCUUCAAAGCUGUAAGAAGUUCUGUUGGGUGAGAACAAGAUACAUAGUGUUUGCAAUGACAGUGUGUUCUUUCAGAAAGAAGAUAAGGGUCUGUGUAGUGUGGAGACUGGGAGCCCUCGGUGUUAUCAGAUGAUUUUCCAGUCACUGCUUCUUCACUGUGUCCAUAACACUGUGAAGGGUUGGAAGAACCUCACAGGUGGCUUCCUUCCAUCAUACACACAAGCACACACACACACAUCAUUUUAAGAUGCCACUCCAAACCUAUAUAAUGUCUGUGAAGGCUAUUAUUUGUAGUAGAACCAACAUUGACAGGGCUACCUUCAAUGGCUGCACAUUAUAAAUACUAAUGAAUUCUGACUACUUAAAAAAAAAAAUAAAAGCAAAGCACUGAAUUCUUUCACAUAAUGAACUCUAGGUCCUGGAACAACAGUCCCCUGGAUAAGUUUUGCUCAUUAUUUAUCUAUGCAUAGGGUUAACUCUUAAUUUUUUCAUAGAGGGACUUUGAAUCAAGUUUUUACAUCAAUAUCUUUACCUUAAAAGGGCAAAUGCAAAUUAUGUGUGUAUUAUACAAUCCAGUUGCCUGCUAAACACAAGUAGGUAGCCCUUGUCUUUGUAUAUACUGUUCAGGCAAGUUUAUGCAUAUGAACAUUCUUUUGCAUCUCGUAUGGGUUAAAUGCUUACCAUUCAUUUCAGUUUCUA